GGGAUUGGUUCGAAUAGAAGAUCAAUGGGAUAGUUACAAUUCUAAUCAGGCUUUAGGAAGUAGAGCAGACCUGCAUUCUCACUACCUUGACAGAGAAGAAAGGGAACAACCAGAAAAAAGAUUGCAUAAUUUGAGGUUUGGGAUGAACUUGUGGAUUGCUUUUGGCUCAUACUGAAGAACUCCUCUAUUUUGAUAUUAUCCAUCUCUAAUAUUUUGUUGACCAUGGAAUUGAAGUCCAUCUUUUGGUUUUAGCAUAUGUUAGGUAUAUGGCAUUUAUCUAGGGAGGAAUAGCAAUAUUUAUAUUGGUUUCAAAUCGUGGAAUGUGAUGAUAUGUAAAUGUUUGACAUGGUUAAUUUUUUGUAAAUGUUUGACAUGGUUAAUUUUUGUGGUUUGACAUAUUA